CAAAAUUUCUUUCUUCCACGUUGAAUUUAUUACUGACUGGAGGAAAAAUGCAAUCUUCCCACCGUCCCUGCAAUCUCCUAUGCCCGGUGGCGCCAUAUGCGACCGCCGCACCCCGUCCUCAACAGCGGCCGCCGCAUCUUCUCGGAACCCACCCGCAGCGCCUCCUCUCCCCUCCGCGCCGCCACUCUGAAGCCCGCCUUCUCUCCGGCGUGACCCCAAUGACCACAUCCUCCUCCCCCACCGCGAACCCCCAGCCAUUCAAGUUGAUCCUGGGGUCUUCGUCAGUGGCCAGGAAGAACAUCCUCAACGAGAUGGGGUUCGAGUUCCAAGUCAUGACCGCGGACAUCGACGAGAGGAGCAUAAGAAGGGAGGAUCCGGAUGAGCUAGUCAUGCUUCUUGCGGAGGCCAAGGCUGAUGCUAUCAUGUCCAGAAUGAACAUUUCUGAUUACCAGAAGGAAGGCGACGAACCAACACUCCUGAUCACCUCUGACAUAGUGGUUGUCCAUGAAGGGAUUAUUAGAGAAAAGCCAAGCAGCAAGGAAGAAGCACUCCAAUUCCUGAAAGGUUAUUCUGGUGGGCAUGUGUCGACUGUGGGUGGUGUGGUGGUAACUAAUCUUACAACUGGCAAGAAGCUUGGCAGUUUAGACAAAGCUGAGGUGUACUUCCAUGACAUACCAGAUGAGAUAAUUGAGAACCUGAUCGUUGAGGGGGUAGUAUUUAGGGUUGCGGGUGGCUUGCUGCUAGAACAUCCAUUGGUGUUGCCGUUUGUCGAAGCAGUGGUUGGUUCUAGUGACAGUGUAAUGGGGCUAUCAAAGGAUCUGGCAAACAAACUCAUUCACGAGGCAUUGUUGGCAUAGCCUAGCAGUUUGGGUGUGAUCACCAUCGAUCGAAUCCUUACUGCACUGCAUGAAGGUAAUGCGAUGGCGAAAACCUGUCGAAACAUGGUGAUUGUUAUGGUUUGAAUUAUAUGAAGAAUUCUAGGCACCAUGGCACGAAGAUUCAUUGAGUGUGCAAGAACACUUCAGAACUGAUGCCUGCUAUUAUGAUCACUGAUGAGAUGUCACCUGAAACAUCCUCCUGUGGAAACAUCCUGAAUCUUGGUUCUCACAUAAGUGGCUAUUGGCCUCUUUCAGUUUACGGUGGCGCUGUUCUUGGACAACUUCGGAAGUGGAUGCCUAUUAGUAUAAAAGAAAUGAGAAAGCUGCACUUUGCAAACGCCGAACCUGGCUACAACGCCAAUCUAGCUGGUCAUUGUACUUUCCUAAAAAAGAAAGCUGGUCAUUGUACUCGCAUGUCUUUUUUAGGGAAAGCGACUUGGCUAGAUUACAAUCAUACAUGCAGGGCUAAAUAAUAUUAUUGGUAUAUCUUUUGGUCUCAAUAAUGUGCAUGAUAUGUGAAGACAACUAUUUAUACAGUUGGAAUUGUAAAAGAUGUCUUAAAUAAAUAAAAUAAGAAAUGAUCAUGAGACA